CUCUCCCUGUAACUAGAACAUUUCAUUCUUAUUAGCAGAGGUCCUCGUGAUUCUGGAACAAAAGAGAUUCAUAAGAGAUUAUUUAAGUCUAAGAAAUGCAUCGGAGAAUGAAUGGCUGCUACAGAAGAAGGACUGGCUCUCUCUCCCGUGCACGACUGCGGAACUGGGGUUCAAGAACAUUCUCGUGAAUUUCAGUCAAAGAAAUCCCAAGCCAGCUAAAAUUCGAGAGGGUGAAGGAACAGACUGCAUUUGAUAAGAAACUGGCAUACCUGCCUGGUCGUUGGUCAGUCGCCCGGUCGUAUCCAGCGCUUUGUGACCCUUCGGACUGCAGAAUGCCAGGUCUCCCUGUCCCUCACCGAAUGAAGCACACCAGUCUCCCCUGGCCUCUGCUGUCUUCUGGAACGUGCUCAGAUUCACAUCCAUUGCCUCUGUGAUGCCACCCAGCCAUCUCAUCCUCUGUUGUCCCCUUCUCCUCCUGCC